UUGAACGCUGGCGGCAUGCCUUACACAUGCAAGUCGAACGGUAACAGGUCUUCGGAUGCUGACGAGUGGCGAACGGGUGAGUAAUACAUCGGAACGUGCCCGAUCGUGGGGGAUAACGGAGCGAAAGCUUUGCUAAUACCGCAUACGAUCUACGGAUGAAAGCAGGGGACCGCAAGGCCUUGCGCGGACGGAGCGGCCGAUGGCAGAUUAGGUAGUUGGUGGGGUAAAGGCCUACCAAGCCUGCGAUCUGUAGCUGGUCUGAGAGGACGACCAGCCACACUGGGACUGAGACACGGCCCAGACUCCUACGGGAGGCAGCAGUGGGGAAUUUUGGACAAUGGGCGAAAGCCUGAUCCAGCCAUGCCGCGUGCGGGAAGAAGGCCUUCGGGUUGUAAACCGCUUUUGUCAGGGAAGAAAUCCUUUGAGCUAAUACCUCGGAGGGAUGACGGUACCUGAAGAAUAAGCACCGGCUAACUACGU
rnacentral:rRNA from 1 species